UAAAACGCUUGGCUGCUAAGUGAAAGAUGAGAAGGCCGGUCUCUACGAGACUGCUGUGCACAGGGUCGCACAGCUAGUGCAGAAGCAAGCGGGAGGAAAGUCUGGGAGCCUUCGCUUCCUGAGCAAGGCCUCCCGUGACUACCAGUGAUGGACGGUGGCUUUCGAAGGUGUUACGGUGAAGGAGCUGGGAGCUGUAUGUCUCCACAAUGUGAUUUUUAAGAGCAAGAGAAAGCAAGUCCUAGACACGGGGAGUGAUUCGAGGAACAGAAAAGGGAAGACAUCUUCAAACCUUAGGAAAGAUGUCCUGCAUGAGUAGCAGGUACUGUCUGUGGUGUGGUCGUAGGGAGACCAGAUUGCAGGUCAUUGGAAGGAAGAAUUGCUGGACGCGGGGCUAUUCAAAGAACUCUCUGCCUUGGGAGCCAAGUUUCCCCUUCAAACAUUGGCAUGGUCAGUUGUUGCCGCGAUGUCUGAGGGCAUUUAUGCCCUCCUAGGACAGUGGACUGGGUCUUUCCUAGCACUGCUGUUCUAUGAAGCUAGAUCCAGAUAGCUGAGGUCAUUGGAGUCAAAUGGGAGCCUUCCCCUCUGUGUAUUGUCAGCCACAACAGGGAGAUGAGGCGGUGCCCUAAAAUUCACCUUAGGACAAACUGAACGCCCUGGACCCAUGAGCAAAUCACUGCUUUCAUUAGCGAAUACAGAGAACACUGAGGUCAGGUUCAGAUAUAAUGUUCUGUGAGGUUUUCCCCUCAUGCCAACUGUUUCUAAGAGAGCAAGAGCUGUUAAGAACAAUUAUGGCUUCUAGAAAGACAAGGACUUUAUGUAGCUGCUGUGAACUAGAAUAGACAGUUAACCUGUACAUGGGGUAAGUCUUCAAUCUCAAUUCAGCAGCACUAAGGGGAAGGCCAAUGGAAAAUGAUAAAAAAGGUGGCAGCAGCAAUUAAGAGUAAUUAUCAGGGGACUUGCUAGCGGUGUUAUUAGGCAUUAGCAAUAGCAGGGAUGGCAGAGGCCAAAGGAAUCCCCCACUAGGAUUUAAGACAUUGUGAGAUUC